rnacentral:rRNA from 1 species
GAUGAACGCUGGCGGCGUGCCUAAUACAUGCAAGUCGAGCGAACAGAUGAGGAGCUUGCUCCUCUGACGUUAGCGGCGGACGGGUGAGUAACACGUGGAUAACCUACCUAUAAGACUGGGAUAACUUCGGGAAACCGGAGCUAAUACCGGAUAAUAUAUUGAACCGCAUGGUUCAAUAGUGAAAGACGGUUUUGCUGUCACUUAUAGAUGGAUCCGCGCCGCAUUAGCUAGUUGGUAAGGUAACGGCUUACCAAGGCAACGAUGCGUAGCCGACCUGAGAGGGUGAUCGGCCACACUGGAACUGAGACACGGUCCAGACUCCUACGGGAGGCAGCAGUAGGGAAUCUUCCGCAAUGGGCGAAAGCCUGACGGAGCAACGCCGCGUGAGUGAUGAAGGUCUUCGGAUCGUAAAACUCUGUUAUUAGGGAAGAACAAAUGUGUAAGUAACUAUGUACGUCUUGACGGUACCUAAUCAGAAAGCCACGGCUAACUACGUG